UACGGGGGGAGCAAGGCGUUGUUCGGAUUUACUGGGCGUAAAGGGCGCGUAGGCGGCCACCGCAAGUCAAUUGUGAAAUCUCCGGGCUUAACUCGGAAAGGUCAACUGAUACUGCGGGGCUAGAGUGCGGAAGGGGCAACUGGAAUUCUCGGUGUAGCGGUGAAAUGCGUAGAUAUCGAGAGGAACACCUGCGGCGAAGGCGG
rnacentral:rRNA from 1 species